rnacentral:tRNA from 1 species
GCUUUGAGAAGCUAAGAAAGCAUCGGUCUUGUAAACCGAAGACAAGAUAACCUCUCCAGAGCU